CCCUUAGAUGUUCGGGGCCGCACGCGCACUACACUGAAGGAAUCAGCACGUCUUUCUCCUUGUCCGGAAGGACUGGGUAACCCGUUGAACCUCCUUCGUGCUAGGGAUUGGGGCUUGUAAUUCUUCCCCAUGAACGAGGAAUUCCCAGUAAGCGCGAGUCAUAAGCUCGCGUUGAUUACGUCCCUGCCCUUUGUACACACCGCCCGUCGCUACUACCGAUUGGAUGGUUUAGUGAGAUCCUCGGAUUGGUCCCGGAGCGGCCUCUGGUCGUGCCGGAGUGCCGAAAAGAAUGUCGAACUUGAUCAUCUAGAGGAAGUAAAAGUCGUAACA
rnacentral:rRNA from 1 species